UGACAUUAGUUAGAUGGUAAGGUAACGGCUUACCAUGACUAUGAUGUCUAGGGGUUCUGAGAGGAAGAUCCCCCACACUGGAACUGAGACACGGUCCAGACUCCUACGGGAGGCAGCAGUGAGGAAUAUUGGACAAUGGAUGGAAAUCUGAUCCAGCCAUGCCGCGUGCAGGAAGACGGUCCUAUGGAUUGUAAACUGCUUUUAUAUGGGAGCACUAAGGUCUUUGCGAAGACUGAUGAGAGUACCAUAUGAAUAAGCAUCGGCUAACUCCGUGCCAGCAGCCGCGGUAAUACGGAGGAUGCGAGCGUUAUCCGGAUUUAUUGGGUUUAAAGGGUGCGUAGGCGGUCUGAUAAGUCAGUGGUGAAAGUUUUCAGCUUAACUGGAAAAAUGCCGUUGAUACUGUCAGGCUAGAAUAUGGUUGCUGUGAGUGGAAUGUGUGGUGUAGCGGUGAAAUGCUUAGAUAUCACACAGAAUAUCGAUUGCGAAGGCAGCUCACAAAGCCAUUAUUGACGCUGAGGCACGAAAGUGUGGGGAUCAAACAGGAUUGGAUACCCUGGUAGUCCACACUGUAAACGAUGAUAACUAGUUGUUGGCGAUACACAGUCAGUGACCAAGCGAAAGCGAUAAGUUAUCCACCUGGGGAGUACGACCGCAAGGUUGAAACUCAAAGGAAUUGACGGGGGCCCGCACAAGCGGAGGAACAUGUGGUUUAAUUCGAUGAUACGCGAGGAACCUUACCCGGGCUCGAACGGUGCAGGAAUAUGGUAGAGAUAUCAUAGCUAGCAAUAGUCUGUAUCGAAGUGCUGCAU
rnacentral:rRNA from 1 species